rnacentral:rRNA from 1 species
GAUGAACGCUAGCUACAGGCUUAACACAUGCAAGUCGCGGGGCAGCAUGGGGUUUGCUUUCAAUCUCUGAUGUCGACCGGCGCACGGGGGAGUAACGCGUAGCCAACGUGCCCUUCACCACGGGAUAACCCGGCGAAAGUCGGACGAAUACCGUACGUUGUCCAUUGAGGGCAUCCGAUUUGGACGAAAGGCUUAGCGGUGAGGGAGGGGGAUGCGUCCGAUUAGCUUGACGGCGGGGUAAGGGCCCACCGUGGCUAGGAUCGGUAGGGGUUCUGAGGGGAAGGUCCCCCACAAUGGAACUGGGGCACGGUCCAGGCUCCUACGGGAGGCCGCAGUGGGGGAUAUUGGUCCAUGGGCGUGAGCCUGAACCAGCCAAGUAGCGUGCAGGAUGGCCGCCCUAUGGGUUGUAAACUGCUUUUAUGCGGGGAUAAAGGAACCCACGUGUGGGUUUUUGCAGGUACCGCAUGAAUAAGCACCGGCUAAUUCCGUG